rnacentral:rRNA from 1 species
GCGAGAAGGUCACACCCGUUCCCAUCCCGAACACGGUAGUUAAGCUUCUCUGCGCCAAUGGUAGUUGGGGGCUUCCCCCUGCGAGAGUAGGUCGCUGCCGGGC